rnacentral:ncRNA from 1 species
UCUGAUUCAGGGCAAAGUCGCCGAAAGGUGACGGCGCAAAACUAGAGGGGCUACAGCGAUAAUACGCCAAGCCAGCCAGUUGCCGGA